GGAAGGUGCAAGCGUUAAUCGGAAUCACUGGGCGUAAAGAGCGCGUAGGCGGUUAGAUAAGUCGGGUGUGAAAGCCCCGGGCUCAACCUGGGAACUGCAUUCGAUACUGUCUGACUAGAGUGUGAUAGAGGGAGGCGGAAUUCCGCAUGUAGCGGUGAAAUGCGUAGAGAUGCGGAGGAACACCAAUGGCGAAGGCAGCCUCCUGGAUCAACACUGACGCUGAGGCGCGAAAGCGUGGGGAGCAAACAGGAUUAGAUACCCUGGUAGUCCCACGCCCGUAAACGAUGUCAACUAGCCGUUGGGAGCAAUUUGGCUCUUGGUGGCGCAGCUAACGCGAUGAGUUGACCGCCUGGGGAGUACGGUCGCAAGAUUA
rnacentral:rRNA from 1 species